UACGUAGGGGGCAAGCGUUGUUCGGAAUUACUGGGCGUAAAGGGCGCGUAGGCGGCACGGCAAGUCAGAAGUGAAAGGCCUGGGCUCAACCGAGGAACUGCUUUUGAGACUGCCGAGCUAGAGUGCGGAAGGGGCAACCGGAAUUCCCAGUGUAGCGGUGAAAUGCGUAGAUAUUGGGAAGAACACCUGAGGCGAAGGCGGGUUGCUGGGCCGACACUGACGCUGAGGCGCGAAAGCCAGGGGAGCAA
rnacentral:rRNA from 1 species